GAUCCAACAACACAUACACAUCAAGAAAAAAAACACAGAGCAUACCAGUAACAACAUCAGGGGAGUCCUCCUUCUCUAGAUGGGAUAGCAAAGCAUAGAACCUAUUCUGGCACUGACCACUAAUGGUGCUAGAAGAAGCACCCUAAGUAGGGGCGGGAUGAAGUAUUGAAGUUGGUGCACUAGCAACCUGUGCCUGAGGUCGGGCAUCUCUGUUCCCC
rnacentral:lncRNA from 1 species